rnacentral:ncRNA from 1 species
UUGCGCCUGCGAAGGACGCAGCAUCACUCGGAUAAUUGCCUUGCAGGCGGCAGAGUGAUGUCCCCGUCCGGUGAUCAGCAAUUUUGCUGAUUCAAAAUCAUUCC